GUUUCUGGUGAGGUUUGUAUCCUCUGAUCAGUGUUUGUAAGUGUUUCUGGUGAGGUUUGUAUCCUCUGCUCAGUGUUUGUAAGUGUUUUGUGGAGGUUUGUAUCCUCUGAUCAGUGUUUGUAAGUGUUUCUGGUGAGGUUUUUAUGCUCUACUCAGUGUUUAUAAGUGUUCUGUGGAGGUUUGUAUGCUCUGCUCACCUUGCCGGAUCUCUGCGGUUCCUGGUGACAGUGAUGUCCCUUCAGUGCGCUGCUUCUCCCCGGCUUCACUCCGUUCACCGCCCGGUGCUGACACGCGUCUCCGUUCGCCUCCUUGUUCACCGCGCUCUCGGUCAUACUUCCCUACAAAGACGUGUAAGGACACAUCAAUAAACGUCGAACAAUUUAGAGUCGAAUUAAAGCUACAAGCAAAAACAGCCACCACGGAAAGCCACUAGAACGAAGGAGGAACACGAAAUUCCAGCCUCCGCAUACCGGAAGUCAACGCCUAUGGUAACCAGAAGGAGUAGCCAAUCACAGGCGCUACUGUGACGCGAUGGGCGUGGCCAGUGUGUCAAAUUCCACGGACGGCCUGAGGAAACAGGGCGUGGUUUUGAUUCGCCGCGUGAUGAACGAGAGUAACCUCGAGACGACCAAUGAGAAGCGCUUCCUGAUAUGACAGGCAUCCAGAAAUUGUACCAGCUCCGAUCGUCUACCGUGCGAUGAGGAUUUUGGACCUCCACUGAGAUGAGGCCGACUGUGUGAAGAUCUUGAGACAUCUAGAGAUGUUCCAGCUUGGGUUAGACUCUGCGAUACUAAAGAGGAGAUGUGAACUCCAUGUGGUCUUUGAGGACAACAACCUCCUCAUCAAUACAACAUUUAUCAGACUGUAUACUUAUAAUCACACCCUCCAGUGUCACCCAAAUGAGGAUGAGGUUCAACUUUGAGUCUGGUUCCUCUCAAGGUUUCUUCCUUUACCAUCUAAGGGAGUUUUUCCUCCCUACAGUCACCUGAGUCACCUCAGACUUGCUCAUUGGGGAUAAAUACAUACACAUUUAAAUAUAUCUUAUAUUAAUCUUGAAUUUUGUAUUAUAUUAAUCUUUAUAAUAUUUUUUAUAUUAACCUUUUGUU